rnacentral:rRNA from 1 species
UAGUCCACGCCGUAAACGAUGAUUACUCGUUGUUGGCAAUACAUCGUCAGCGACUGAGCGAAAGCAUUAAGUAAUCCACCUGGGGAGUACGAUCGCAAGAUUGAAACUCAAAGGAAUUGACGGGGGCCCGCACAAGCGGAGGAACAUGUGGUUUAAUUCGAUGAUACGCGAGGAACCUUACCUGGGCUUAAAUGCAAAACGACAGACCGGGAAACUGGUCUUUCUUCGGACGGCUUGCAAGGUGCUGCAUGGCUGUCGUCAGCUCGUGCCGUGAGGUGUCGGGCUAAGUCCCAUAACGAGCGCAACCCUCAUCAUUAGUUGCCAGCGGGUAAUGCCGGGGACUCUAAUGAAACUGCCGGUGUAAACCGAGAGGAAGGUGGGGAUGACGUCAAGUCUGUAUGGCCCUUACGCCUAGGGCUGCACACGUACUACAAUGCCCAGCACAAUGUGACCCGAGACCGUGAGGUGGAGCAAAUCCUAGAAACCGUGCCUCAGUUCGGAUUGC